rnacentral:rRNA from 1 species
ACGGAGGGUGCAAGCGUUAAUCGGAAUUACUGGGCGUAAAGCGCAUGUAGGCGGUUUGGCAAGUCAGAUGUGAAAUCCCCGGGCUCAACCUGGGAAGUGCAUUUGAAACUGUGGAGCUUGAGUAUCGUAGAGGGUGGUAGAAUUCCAGGUGUAGAGGUGAAAUGCGUAGAGAUCUGGAGGAAUAGCGGUGGCGAAGGCGGCCAUCUGGACGAGAACUGACGCUCAGGCGCGAAAGCGUGGGGAGCAAACAG